rnacentral:rRNA from 1 species
GGAAAAGAAACUAACAAGGAUUCCCCUAGUAACUGCGAGUGAAGCGGGAAAAGCUCAAAUUURAAAUCUGGCGGUUUUGCCGUCCGAGUUGUAAUCUGGAGAAGCGUUUUCCGUGCUGGACCGUGUACAAGUCUCUUGGAAUAGAGCGUCAUAGAGGGUGAGAAUCCCGUCCAUGACACGGACUGCCAGUGCUUUGUGAUACGCUCUCGAAGAGUCGAGUUGUUUGGGAAUGCAGCUCAAAAUGGGUGGUAAAUUCCAUCUAAAGCUAAAUAUUGGCGAGAGACCGAUAGCGAACAAGUACCGUGAGGGAAAGAUGAAAAGCACUUUGGAAAGAGAGUUAAACAGUACGUGAAAUUGUUGAAAGGGAAACGCUUGAAGUCAGUCGCGUUGUGUUGGACUCAGCCUGGCUUCGGCCUGGUGUAUUUCCUGCAUGACGGGUCAACAUCGAUUUUGAUCGGCGGACAAGGCGUGGGGGAAUGUGGCACUCCUCGGAGUGUGUUAUAGCCCUCAUGCAUAUACGUCGGUUGGGAUCGAGGCCCGCAGCGCGCCCUUGUGGCCGGGGGUUCGCCCCACGUAUCGCGCUUAGGAUGUUGGCAUAAUGGCUUUAAGCGACCCGUCUUGAAACACGGACCAAGGAGUCUAACAUGCUCGCGAGUGUUAGGGUGGAAAACCCUUGCGCGUAAUGAAAGUAGAAGUUGAGAGCCUCCGCAAGGGGGUGCACCGACGCCCGGCCCUGACGUUCUCUGACGGUGCUGCGGUUGAGCGCGUAUGUUGGGACCCGAAAGAUGGUGAACUAUGCCUGAAUAGGGCGAAGCCAGAGGAAACUCUGGUGGAGGCUCGUAGCGAUUCUGACGUGCAAAUCGAUCGUCAAAUUUGGGUAUAGGGGCGAAAGACUAAUCGAAACCCUUCCAUUGGCCC